AUUGAACGCUGGCGGCAGGCCUAACACAUGCAAGUCGAACGCGUGGCGGACGUGUGAGUUAUGUCUGGGAAACUGCCUGAUGGAGGGGGAUAAAUACUGAACACGGUAGAUAAUACCGCAUACAAUCGGUUGUGACCAGAUUGGAUUCGCUAGUAGGUGGGGUAAAGGCACACAUAGGCGACGCUCCCUUUCUGGGCUGAGAGGAUGACCAGCCACACUGGAACUGAGACACGGUCCAGACUCCUACGGGAGGCAGCAGUGGGGAAUAUUGCACAAUGGGGGCAAGCCUGAUGCAGCCAUGCCGCGUGUAUGAAGAAGGCCUUCGGGUUGUAAAGUACUUUCAGCGGGGAGGCGUUACCCGAAGAAGAAGCACCGGCUAACUCCGUGCCAGCAGCCGCGGUAAUUG
rnacentral:rRNA from 1 species